UCGUAUGAUUUCUUGAAUAUAUGUAAUUGUUUUAAAUUCAAAAUAGCAGAUAAAGAGUAAGGUUUUGAAAUAAACCCAUAAUUGUUCUAUUAUCAUAGAUCAAUGGGUAUGAUCUUGAUUAAUUUAAUCUUCUUCAUUCUCAUCACCUCUAUCUCACCUUUCUGUAAGUACCUUCUCCUUUUCAUUUUUCACUUCUUUCUUUAAUCCAUACCAUCGCUGAAAUUUUAUCUCCUUGUUUAGCUUCUAAUAAAUUUGUUUUUAUCUUGAUGUGAUUUUUAAUUGGAUUUGUGAAGAUGGAUUUGAUCCAUUGGAUCCUCACGCAAAUAUAACCAUCAAAUGGGAUCUUUUGCAGUCAAAUUCUGAUACAAAUGAUGUAAGUUGUUUCAUUUCGAUUUUAUUUUUGGAUGGGAUAUUCUUAUGUCAUUGCACAAAAUUUACACCUUUUUUUUUUAAUAUAUAAGUUCAGGUUAUCCUUAAGAGAAUAUAAAAUUCUGAAAUUGAAAAGG
rnacentral:lncRNA from 1 species